UACGAAGGGAGCUAGCGUUGUUCGGAAUCACUGGGCGUAAAGCGCACGUAGGCGGACGUGUCAGUCAGGGGUGAAAUCCCGGAGCUCAACUUCGGAACUGCCUUUGAUACAGCACGUCUUGAGUCCGGAAGAGGUGGGUGGAAUUCCUAGUGUAGAGGUGAAAUUCGUAGAUAUUAGGAAGAACACCGGUGGCGAAGGCGGCAUCCUGGACCGAUACUGACACUGAGGAGCGAAAGCCAGGGGAGCAAACGGGG
rnacentral:rRNA from 1 species